rnacentral:rRNA from 1 species
AGAGUUUGAUCCUGGCUCAGGAUGAACGCUGGCGGUAUGCCUAACACAUGCAAGUCGUACGAGAGUUUUCGGACCCUAGUGGCGGACGGGUGAGUAACACGUGAGAAUUUGCCUUUAGGAGGGGGAUAACAAUUGGAAACGAAUGCUAAUACCCCAUAUGCUUUCGAGUGAAACGGAUUUAUCCGCCUAAAGAGAAGCUCGCGGCUGAUUAGCUUGUUGGUAAGGUAAGAGCUUACCAAGGCGACGAUCAGUAUCUGGUUUGAGAGGACGAUCAGACACACUGGAACUGAGACACGGUCCAGACUCCUACGGGAGGCAGCAGUGGGGAAUUUUCCGCAAUGGGCGAAAGCCUGACGGAGCAAUACCGCGUGAGGGAUGACUGCCUAUGGGUUGUAAACCUCUUUUUUCAGGGAGGAAUAAAUGACGUGUACCUGAAGAAUAAGCAUCGGCUAACUCCGUGCCAGCAGCCGCGGUAAGACGGAGGAUGCAAGUGUUAUCCGGAAUCACUGGGCGUAAAGCGUCUGUAGGUGGCUUAAUAAGUCAACUGUUAAUCUUGAGGCUCAACUUCGAA